CCUACCUGCGGGAGCAGU
rnacentral:misc_RNA from 1 species